ACUACUACCAACUUUUUUCGCCAACCUGGAGAAAAUUUUGGAAAUUUGCAAUAAAUUGUUGUCACGUUGCUUUUGGACGAGAACAAUAUAGUUGUAUGUACUUUGGAGAGGAAGACCCCCCGAAACUCCCUUUCGUUCUGGCGUAUAAAAAACACAUUGCUCAUGUAAUUCAGAGAUGCCCAAAAGAUCGUCUUCUAAUUUACAACUGCAAAAGUGGACGGAAACCUCUGUGUAAAUUUCUUGGAAAGGACGUACCAAGAAAGGAUUUUCCCUGGAUAAACAAAAACUGUGAAUUGGCAAAAAUGCUUUGGGAAAUGCCAAUGUUCAAGAACGCUAAAAAAGCAAUGUUAACAAAUGCUACUCUGUUAUUUGCUGGUAUUAUAUUCGCUGGAUAUUACUUUGUAAAAUAAGGUUGGAAUUAAAUAAGCUGCAUGUGCUAUUAA